rnacentral:rRNA from 1 species
UGGGGAAUUUUGGACAAUGGGCGCAAGCCUGAUCCAGCAAUGCCGCGUGAGUGAAGAAGGCCUUCGGGUUGUAAAGCUCUUUUGUCAAGGAAGAAACGGUUGUUCCUAAUACGGAUGACUAAUGACGGUACCUGAAGAAUAAGCACCGGCUAACUACGUGCCAGCAGCCGCGGUAAUACGUAGGGUGCAAGCGUUAAUCGGAAUUACUGGGCGUAAAGCGUGCGCAGGCGGUUAUAUAAGUCAGAUGUGAAAUCCCCGGGCUCAACCUGGGAACUGCAUUUGAGACUGUAUGGCUAGAGUGUGUCAGAGGGGGGUAGAAUUCCACGUGUAGCAGUGAAAUGCGUAGAUAUGUGGAGGAAUACCGAUGGCGAAGGCAGCCCCCUGGGAUAACACUGACGCUCAUGCACGAAAGCGUGGGGAGCAAACAGGAUUAGAUACCCUGGUAGUCCACGCCCUAAACGAUGUCAACUGGUUGUUGGGUCUUCACUGACUCAGUAACGAAGCUAACGCGUGAAGUUGACCGCCUGGGGAGUACGGCCGCAAGGUUG